ACACGUAUACGCGAUGUUACCUUGUAUGCACUCCCAAGAGGAACGAGCCAGGGAAGGACGCUCGACUACGGAGAUACAUACAUAUCGAGGUAACUUUACGUACGUGUGCUGGCGCGCGAAUCCUUGCACGUAUACACGCACACGUGCUCGUCGUAUGAUGUACGCUCCUGCAUACCAACCUGUCGCGAUAUAUAAACAUCGGCGAAAGAGAAUCCGCCAGGGAGAGACAGAGACGAAACGAUGGGCCAGCCAGGCAGAGGGAUGAAAAAAGAGCAUGGACCAGCCCGGGGAAAGAGAGACGCUGAAUGAAACGGUGAUAUGAAAAGAGAACACAGAGAGAGAACGAGAGGAUGCACGUAGUCGGAGACUGGCCACCCGCUGGUUCGACGAAGAACGAUAUCGUAGAGGAGGGAAGAGGUAUUGCGCGAGAGAGCAAGAGGGAAGUUUCGAAAAGAGAAACACACAGAGGUGUGGUUCGAAAGAGAACGCAGGACGGUAAAAGCUGAAACGAGAUACGGGAGAGCGAGACGAGAAGACCUGGUAAAAGAGAGAACGGGAGUUGCAGAAAGAGAAAGAAGAAAUGGAAAGAGAAAAAGAGAGGGCGAUAGAGAGGGAGAGGAUGAACAGACACGGACGGCGAAGAGAGUGAGACGAAUGCAUAUGUGUUCUGAAACAAACGUUCGAUCAGAGUGCCGAUUGUUGCCAAUCAUACGUUGCCACGGCGUACCCCUCUGUGCCCGUGGCCAAGCCGCGGAUUCAGUUCUGCGUUUUUACGCGGCGCGGUAACCAUCGUUCCCGUUCUUUCGUUGCCUGUCGCGUGUUUUCGAAGAAUCAUCGCGAAAAAUAUCUAUACGUCAUGUAUAUAAUAUAUCUCUUAAGACGUUCCAUGUGCAAAGUAAGUUGUUCCACUUGGUCAUCACGGUGUUCCCUGUUCGCUGACCCGAUGGUGUGCGUGUGGCCCGAAUCGAGCGUGCGAGCGAGCGAAUGAGCUCUGCUCGCCGCAACAAACGUCGACGACGAUGACGGAACGAAGAUGGUAGAGAGAGAUGGUGGAGAUCCUUGGUGGAGGAGAGGACCCUUCACGGCGGAGAGGCACGGAAACGUCUGGUGGCGUGGCGACACGGACGAACACGGUGUGCGUUCGGUGGCUGCGUGCGUGCGUGUGCUUUUUGCGGAAAAUGUCAGCGCUGCCCGUGGCAUUCGAUGAUUGAUGACGACGGCAAACUACGAGCUGGGAGACGUGUAUGCGUGAGAGCGUGUGUCAGUGUGGCCGAGACCGAGCUCCCGGAUGUGUUGGUCCCGUGUCCGUGGAACAACGCCUUAUGCAUACUCAUCGUAGGUGGGCACACGGACGCGAGCUUAUGCGUGCCACUCGGCUGUGUCUGCGGGUACGCGCGCGAGAGAGGCGAUGAUUUCGGAAAACACGGCAGCCCGCGUCGACCAAUGGCAGCACGCCGACCGCCGGCCGGGCAACCAGCAAUACGCGAUGACGAAAUCGGUUGGACAGAGACGACACGAGCGAGAGAAUGACCGGGUGGGAUGAUGGGGGUGGAGGAAAACGAACAGGGUUUGCGUCGAGUAAUAAUGAAUGUUUGUUGCCGGCGGCUAAGCCUUCAUUUUCGCUGCUUCAACCUGUGGACGGAUCUUCGUCUGCUCCGUCCAAUAGCGUUGCUAGAAUCGUCUAUCUCCUUCUUCAUAAUGUAUCCUACUUGCGCUAAUUUGGUAUUUACUUGCGUUGCUCGUAUCACCCCAUCGCGACGUGGCCUCUUUCCCUUUAUCUUUUUCGUAACCGACUCUGGGCUGUUCUACGUUAAACGCCCUUAAAACUUGGAAACACUUCUAAUUCAUUUUUAUAAACUUUCAGACGGUAACUCGUUUUAUGCAAGCUUGUGUUCGAGCUAUUACAGCUCAUCAUUAUAUUUUAUCCCAUUGUUUCUCAAAUUACUAGUAAUUACUAGUGGAUAAUAACACGUAAUGUACGAUUAGAAUAAUCGGCAGUCACGCCCAGCAAGGUAUACGUAUACCUUAUACCCGUGAUUUACACAUAGCGAAAUGAAUCUGCCCUAUUGCAUUUUCUAAUCAACAUUUUUAUUUUCAUCGUUCUAAGCCUCUCGUAUAGAUCCAUUAAAUCGAUAACCUCGACAGAUAAUCUUCUUCGAAGCUAUAAAAUGAAAAUGUAGUUAAAACUAAACUAUAAAAUUGCUUAUUGCAAUGCGUUCGCGCAGAAGCUCCUGUCAGAAGAAAUGACCGAGUCACCAGGCGACCACCUCAGAAGAAACUGUUGCUUCCGUAAAGUCGUGGGGGAGUUUUCCACAAGGUUUUCACGCGGGAUUCAAAAAUCGUAGACACGCGGCGGGAAUUGGGGGACGAAAGGCGAGAAGGCGAAAGGGAGAAGGGAACGCUGCGCAACCGGAUAGGACUCUUCGAGUAGGAAAGAGGGGAGUGGAGCGGUUUUCACGAGAGCACGGUGCAGGUCGUAUAGUAGUAGGCGAUAGUGCGGAGGGCAGCUCCGGCCGCGCACGCGCUUUUUCGAAAAAUCAAUAAAACGAAAAGCUUACCUAAUGCUAUGUUACUACGGGGGUAGACUCCGCCUUCAUCUACUAGCUAUAGUGGUGGGUUGAUCGCCGCCUAGAUACUAACGCUCCACUCGGCCAGAUGAUCAUCUGUAGAUGACGCGUUGCCGGCGUGUACGCCCAGGGUGCAUCAUUUCUGCCUUCCUUCGGAAAGUAAAGCGGGUUCGCUCGAUAGAAAUAACGUUCCAACGAUUCCAGAAAAUUGUCCUUUUCUAUAAUUUUAUUUAGUUCUGCUAAUUUCCUUUCUCUCGUAUCAUCUGUUUCAUUAGAUACUUCUGUUCUUAAUGAAAUUUAAAUCUCUGUGAAUAGAUUACUUCGUAAUACAGGCUUGGAGAGUGAAAUAUUAAAUAAUAAUUAAAGAUAGAAAUCUGUGCGACCGUUUAAUCGAUUUAACUUUUUCACUUUUAUUCGCUGUUUCAGUCAAUUUGAUCCUGAAUGAAAACUGAAUAUUUAAUCGCUUCUUCUUAUCGAUAUAUUCGAUAUAUGUGGAAUUAAUUGUCUUUUAUUUGUAUGUAAAAAUAAGUAUCUGAGAAAGUAUUUGUCAUUCGAGUAUGCUUCUCGAUAGAUUCAAUGUAGUAGCUAGAUAAUUGAGACGCAAAAUUAAAGCGAAGCUUUUAUAGAGAUACUAUGGGAAGAGAGAUAGAAAAGGUGAAGAAAUAAAAGAGGAUGAAGAGAAACGAAUGGAAACAGUAGUAUGAAUAAAUAGUCGAAGACAACUGCUUUCUGUACAUUCUCUAAAUAUAUUCUUUAAAUACACGCACACACAUAUAUAUAUAAUAUUCUUCUAUAAUAUUCUAAAAUUUUUUAGAAUUUGAAAGAACGAUACUAAAACUUGCUCCAAUUAGUGAUCGUAAAUUCAUGAUGAGAAACAUUGUAGAUCACGUUCACUUCAUUAGUAUUGUUACAUGCCAACAAUUUUUGAUAGGCUAUAAAUAUCCAUUCAGAGGAAAGAAUAAAUUGGCGCUCUUUAUUGACGGUAAAUAUUGAUUAAACAUGAGAGAUUUGCAAAGCAAUGGUAAUUACGUGUUCGUUACAUUAUUAUCCCAUCAUUUACAUUCGUAAAUCACGAAUACCAUUAAAAUAACGAGAUUAAAGAAGAAACACAUCUACGAAAUCACUAGUGGUUGUGUAAAUCAUUUCAAAUGAAAUCAACUUAUAAAAAGCAAUAAAAAUCUUAAUCUGUCAUAAUAAAAUUCUAUCUAUUUGCAUUUCAAAAUUUCUUCCCUGUAUCCUGCAACUUUUGACAGUAAUUAUUUUUUUGAUCGUUUUACAUCUGAAGCACCUUUACUAUCAAUUCUUACAUUUAUGCAAAUUCACGUUUCUAUAACCACGAUUAGAGAGACGAAAUCGAAGUAGCUAUAGAUUUAUUUCAUCUAUUAACAUUUAAUAAAUAUUUUAUGUAUUUUUGCAUAAUACGCGUAUUCCGCAACAUAUCGUAAACAUUUCCCAUGUACAAAUAUACUGUCAUACGAUCUCUUCUAAAUAUCUCAAAUUAAUUUAAAAUCGACUCAUCGCCUCCCUCCUUCCUCCCCCUCCCUCAAUCAUAAAGCUAACGAUGGAAAGGCGAAAAGAUCGAAGGAAUCUCAUCAACGUUGCGGCCACUCACACCAAGAUGACAAUGAUCGAUCGAUCGAUGGAACGAACUAACGGAACGACGCGCCCGAUGUUUAUCCCUAGCCAUUCGCGUGGACGAUAAAACACGAAAGGAAUAAGCUGUACAAGGUAUUUCGUAGAUUCGAGCAAAAUGGGGGAUGCGAAUGCGGCGAGCCAUGAUUAGAUUGUGGCUUGUGCUCGAGGCGUCCGACUAGGUUCAGCACGUUAGCGAAUUCGGUCCGUUGAGUGUUGACAAGUCCGCAUCCUGCUCUCCCAGCCGCCUUUAGCGCUGGCCGUGUAAUUCUAACGAGCUUAGGGCCGUGCCGCUCCUCUCCGUUCGGUUGCAUUAUCUGAAACCGCGAGGCGUUCUUGGCCCGAGUGGAUAGGUUUCCGCGAGUUGCCAAUGCCAAUAGGAAACCCGAUGCACCCUAUGCGCGCUAGUGUGCAGGUAGAACAAGUAGAACCGCCGAUAGAUUUCCAUUUGGUACACCUGCUACGCGUAAACGAUACGCCGACCGCGCGGUCGGGCCAGAUUUAGAAUUUUGCGACAGGGUGGCCGGGCCACGCUGGAUUGAAUUAUUGCCGGUGAUCUCGGCCCAUUAUACCACGGUUUCGACGCGUGUUUUCGCUACUCGUUUCGUUGCUUUUCGGGACUGGUCGCGUGGUAAACGCGCCGAAUGAUUGAUGCCGGCAUAUAAGUAUGUUUGCCAGUGGAAAAGGGGAAAAGCGUGGAUUGAUCGAAGGGGAUGAAAGCGUCCAAUUAUUGAUUGUUAAAUCGGUCGACCGGUCUUUUAUCGAUUCGAUCGCCAAUCGUAUAAAUUGAUUGUUUCGGUUGAUUUUUAAUUUAGUCGAUGUAUAGGAAGAAGGCGAGAAGGUUUAAUUGUGUCGGAAUAGAAGAGAGUACAGAUAAUGAGAGUUAUUGGCGAUGAGGUAUAAAUAUGUUACGAUUAAUCGGAAGGAAUGGAAACAUUGAAUUAUUGAAUGGUCAACGAUUGACUAUUCUAUAGACGUAGAUUCAGUUAUGAAAUUUUUUAUUUCGUAACCUGAUUUUAUGUAACGGCAGAUUGAUAGGAAAUAUAUUAAGGGGAAAUAUCAGAAUUAAUAGAAAAGUAGGCAAAAAAUUGUUUGCGGUCAAUAUGAAAUCGAAUGCAGUUUCUUUGAUCACCAAUUGAUAAAAACAUUAACCGUCACGAUAUUUUCAUGUUUCAGCAUAAACCGAUAUACGGAUAAACUGAAAAGAGGAAGUCGAUUUUAAAAGCGUAUGAUGCAGAGAUGCAUAAAAAAUGCUCGAAUUAAUUUCGGUGGUGAUACGAGCAAUUUAUUUCAUAGGAAUACAUGGAAAGCUUAAAAAACAUCAAACUUAUAUUUAUACGAAACUUUUCUUCUGUGAAAAAUACACCAACCAAUCUAACGUCUAUAAACAUUCGAUCUCUACAAAAGCUUGAAAUUGUUCUUCGAUUAUUUUAUAUAACAAUGACAGAUCCUAUUCGAAUAAAAUGGAAGGAAAUUAAUCAAAUUAAAGACUUUUAACGGAUGUUUGCGGGACAGCUGCAGUAACAGAGAAGAAAAUGCCAGAGGCAAACGAAUCGAUCGAUAAUUCAGUUAAGCAGGCAACUUGACCGUAAUUGGUAGUGGGUAUAUUUAAAAAGCGCUUUCUGAAAGUUCGAUGAAAAUCGAUUAAAGACGAGCGGCAGCGCGGCGCGAAAGUUUGAUUAAAAACGCGAACGUCCACGAGUCGGAGCCCCGACUUCGCUAAUAAUUGACGACAGUUAGAAGCAGUUCGUAUUACCCUCGAGAAUAUAUCGAGCACUUCAAUCGUGCGUCUCUUUUCCUAGUUUCUACAGCCCCCUUUUUUCUUUCCUUCUUCCUUUUCUAUGUUCUUUUUCGUCGAAACAAAAAUUUCACGUGGAAGGACGGAUAAAUUUCACGAAUUCCAGCGCAGUUGGAAAAGAAGCAAAGGGAAAAGAGGAACUUGCAAUUACAGUGCGCGAGUAACAGACGACUCGGCGUCAGUUAAAAUAAUUAGUGCGUUCCUAAUGGAAGGAGUAUGAAUUGUUGAUGACAACUCAUCGCAGCAGCGGAUCAAUGUCCCUUUUUGUAAACGGACGAAUAGGACAUUGAAAUUUUUGCAAUUUCCAAAGUAGCCAAUUUGAACAGAGUCGGUGCAUUUGGCUAUGUAGCUUCGUGAUUCAGUGAGAAAUUAUAGCAGAAAUGCUAAAUCCAGUUUAUUUUAUCGAAAAAGUUUAUAGACCAAAAUUUAUUAAUGAUUAAGUAUAAAUUCUUUAACCAUAAUGAAACAGUGGAAAAUACAUUUUUCUAUAUCUAAGUACGUAACGUCGUUACGUAAUUUAUUUUACAUUAAAUAAUUUUGAAUAGACGUAAUGAAUUUAAUUAUAAGUCUUCGUUAGUAAGUUAUUACUAGCGAUUAGAAUUUAGUAUUAUUGUAUUUAUAGAAAUAGAAUUGUGCCAAUUCCUCAAUAACAAUCGCGUAUAAUGGAUUUCUUCUAUGUGUAUCCAACAUCGCUUUGGCGUGUCCGUAGUAACGAAUAAAAUAAUUCUAAACGAGCGGAAUAAAUUUUUACUAUGGAA